GGAGCGCGCAGCACUGCGGCGGGGCCGGGCUCCCCGGGCUCGUCCUCCUCACCCGCGUUUGCCGAGCGCGAUUUUCCCUCUCUUUCCAAUUGGCUGAACUCCCUGAGAGCUCGGUUCGCAGGAGGCGUCGGGCACUCCGAAAAGCAGCCAGGGUCUGGGAAUUUUCCUGCGUUAUUUGGAGAAAAUAAUUUUAUGUUGAGUGAGAAGAAAACAAACUCACAGCCAGUCAGGCCUGACUGUCCCCUGCAGUGAGAGCUCAGCACACAUCCACAGAUGCAAGUCCAGCACCUGAAAUUAAAAACAAAAAAACCCCAGAAGAUAAAGGUGACUUCUUGUGCUUCAAAGUUCUUUCAAGUUCUUAAAGCCCCACCAGCAUUUGCUGUUGAUUUUGGUUGGGGGAAUCCCAGGCAGUGGGCACAGGUCGUGCCAUUCAUUCAGCUGAAACCCCAGGGUAGUUCAGAGGGGGCACAAGAAGUUUUUGUGUUGGAAAAUUCCAGGGGAUGUCAAGGACAUUUCUGAGGGGAUUGCUGAGGGAACUGAAGGGAGCCCAGCAGACAGUUUCUCUGGGAAAGCCAAGACCCCUGGGCAGCACAGCCAGGGCUCUGUAGGGGCACAGGGAGGGCUCAGCCCUGGGGACUCUCUGUGUCCCUGCCCUGUCACAGCCAGGGCUCAGCCCUGGAGACUCUCUGUGUCCCUGCCCUGUCACAGCCAGGGCUCAGCCCUGGGGACUCUCUGUGUCCCCCUGGGCAUCACAGCCAGGGCUCAGCCCUGGGGACUCUCUGUGUCCCCUCCCCUGUCACAGCCAGGGCUCAGCCCUGGGGACUCUCUGUGUCCCCCUGGGCAGCACAGCCAGGGCUCAGCCCUGGGGACUCUCUGUGUCCCUGCCCUGUCACAGCCAGGGCUCAGCCCUGGGGACUCUCUGUGUCCCCUCCCCUGGCACAGCCAGGGCUCAGCCCUGGGGUCUCUCUGUGUCCCUGCCCUGUCACAGCCAUGGCUCAGCUCUGGGGACUCUCUGUGUCCCUGCCCUGUCACAGCCAGGUCUCAGCCCUGGGGACUCUGUGUGUCCCUCCCCUGUCAAAGCCAGGUCUCAGCCCUGGGGACUCUCUGUGUCCCCCUGGGCAGCACAGCCAGGGCUCAGCCCUGGGGACUCUGUGUGUCCCUCCCCUGUCACAGGGAGGGCUCAGCCCUGGAGACUCUCUGUGUCCCUGCCCUGUCACAGCCAGGGCUCAGCCCUGGGGACUCUCUGUGUCCCCCUGCCCUGUCACAGGGAGGGCUCAGCUCUGGAGACUCUCUGUGUCCCUGCCCUGUCACAGCCAUGGCUCAGCUCUGGAGACUCUCUGUGUCCCUGCCCUGUCACAGCCAUGGCUCAGCCCUGGGGACUCUCUGUGUCCCUCCCCUGUCACAGCCAGGGCUCAGCCCUGGGGACUCUCUGUGUCCCUGCCCUGGCAGCAGCCAGCAUGGAAGGGAGGAAAGGCUCUGUGCAGGAUGAGGCAGAGAGAGCAAGCAGGGAGCAGCCUCGGGCUGGAGAGGGGCAGCAGAAAGGCAAAGGGACCUGCCUGGGGUCACUGUGGGCAGCAGAAUGGACACUUGGGUGACCAGUGCAGGUGAGGAGUGGAUCUGAGUUCAUCUGCAGGGAAAGAAGGAGGGGAUGUUUUGGAAGGAAAAGCUGAGGUGAUGAGUUUCACUCACCUUGGCACAAGUUGUGUUUGUGCAAAUGAGACCAGAGUUGAAGGUCAAACCAAAGCCAACCCUGCCUGACCUCUGAAUUCCAGAAUAGUCUGUGAGCACACAAAGCUAGGAGCUGUUGAGAAAAAUAAAGCAGCACUUCCAUUCUGGACCUCUGCAUGAUACUCACACAGAACUUCGCUUUCAAGGACUGAAAUGGAACGACAGGUAUAGAAGAAAUGUAAUUCCAAGAGGGAAAAUAGUCUGCAAAAAACAAGUCCACGUGGGCCUGGAUGCUGAUCCCUGUUGCUGGUCCAUGACAGCAUCUGACAGCUGUUUUUGUGUUCCUGACUGCAGUUUCCUUCGGGGACGUGUGGCUCAGAGCUCAGCAGCUGGAUGUGUUACUGACCCACAUCAGGUUGGUCUGCACUAGUGCAGGUGAUGAGUUACAGGAUGGCUUGUGAACUCAGAAACAAGGAGAAGAAACUAUUACAUCUCUUUGUAAAAAGAUUUGGCUACUUCAGGGCAUUAAUUCAGGGAGCUAACACUUCAUCUUUAACAUUCUGUGCUCUGCCAUCAUCACUGUGAGCCCUGAAAGCCUCCUGAGCUGUUCUCACACAGACCUAACUUGUUUGGUCAAAAAAAUCUUAGUUUUGUUUGGACAAAAAGAUUUUAUUACUGUCUGCAAACUCAUGGGGAAGAUUUAUUCAACAUCUAUCAGUGAGACAUUAAAGCUCCACUUUCCCUUUUCUCAAACAGUCUGAGAGACAAUAUUACUUUGUAUCAUUUUUAUUACAGGCAUUUUUAACUUUUUGAAGAACCAGAAAGACUCUUUGUGCAUAUGUGUGUCAUUAAUGUCCAUCCUCUCUCCAUGUAUUAUGGGAAAAAAGGCUGCAGAGCUUCCUACAAGGGGCUGUAAGUGCAAAUAACAAGGAGCCAGACGUUCAAUCAUGAUGAUUUAUUAUUUCUUAAAACAACCUGAUUGAUUUAAUGAUAGCAAAACCAGUAUGAAUAGAAGACUGAACUCGGGAAUCAUGAUGGUCUUCUUGGGUUUAAAAAGCUUUGAUGGGUUUUGGAGACAUUUAUAUCAGACCUGGUUUAGUUUUAUUCCACUUUUAUUAAAUAAAAAAAGAAAAAAAAAAAA